rnacentral:rRNA from 1 species
AGCGGCGGACGGGUGAGUAAUACUUAGGAAUCUACCUAGUAGUGGGGGAUAGCUCGGGGAAACUCGAAUUAAUACCGCAUACGACCUACGGGAGAAAGGGGGCAACUUGUUGCUCUCGCUAUUAGAUGAGCCUAAGUCGGAUUAGCUAGAUGGUGGGGUAAAGGCCUACCAUGGCGACGAUCUGUAGCUGGUCUGAGAGGAUGAUCAGCCACACCGGGACUGAGACACGGCCCGGACUCCUACGGGAGGCAGCAGUGGGGAAUAUUGGACAAUGGGGGAAACCCUGAUCCAGCCAUGCCGCGUGUGUGAAGAAGGCCUUUUGGUUGUAAAGCACUUUAAGCAGUGAAGAAGACUCCGUGGUUAAUACCCACGGACGAUGACAUUAGCUGCAGAAUAAGCACCGGCUAACUCUGUGCCAGCAGCCGCGGUAAUACAGAGGGUGCAAGCGUUAAUCGGAAUUACUGGGCGUAAAGGGAGCGUAGGUGGCUCGAUAAGUCAGAUGUGAAAUCCCCGGGCUUAACCUGGGAACUGCAUCUGAUACUGUUGAGCUAGAGUAUGUGAGAGGGAGGUAGAAUUUCAGGUGUAGCGGUGAAAUGCGUAGAGAUCUGAAGGAAUACCGAUGGCGAAGGCAGCCUCCUGGCAUAAUACUGACACUGAGGCUCGAAAGCGUGGGUAGCAAACAGGAUUAGAUACCCUGGUAGUCCACGCCGUAAACGAUGUCUACUAGUCGUUGGGUCCCUUGCCUGGUAGUCCACGCCGUAAACGAUGUCUACUAGUCGUUGGGUCCCUUGAGGACUUAGUGACGCAGCUAACGCAAUAAGUAGACCGCCUGGGGAGUACGGCCGCAAGGUUAAAACUCAAAUGAAUUGACGGGGGCCCGCACAAGCGGUGGAGCAUGUGGUUUAAUUCGAUGCAACGCGAAGAACCUUACCUGGUCUUGACAUAUCUAGAAUCCUGCAGAGAUGCGGGAGUGCCUUCGGGAAUUAGAAUACAGGUGCUGCAUGGCUGUCGUCAGCUCGUGUCGUGAGAUGUUGGGUUAAGUCCCGCAACGAGCGCAACCCUUGUCCUUAGUUACCAGCGGGUUAUGCCGGGAACUCUAAGGAUACUGCCAGUGACAAACUGGAGGAAGGCGGGGACGACGUCAAGUCAUCAUGGCCCUUACGACCAGGGCUACACACGUGCUACAAUGGUAGGUACAGAGGGCAGCUACACAGCGAUGUGAUGCGAAUCUCAAAAAGCCUAUCGUAGUCCAGAUUGGAGUCUGCAACUCGACUCCAUGAAGUAGGAAU